AAUUACGUAUAGUGUAACAGUGCCCUAAUUCUCCUCCCUCGCUGCACACAUCUUCCGCCACCAUUCUCCCCGCGCCACCCAGCCGAUGUUACACCUUCCGGCGGCGGCGCCUCCAUCCCGUCAUCAUUCUCUCGCUGAUUUCUCAUUAUCGACAUCUCUCCGCACUCGCUGAUUCCUCAGAUUUCGUAGGAAUUUGAAGUCCCAAUCGCUGAAGUCAGUUCCACAGAUGAAGUUUCCAUCGCUGAUUCCUCAUUAUCGCCGAAGUCUCCAUCUCUGAAGUCUCUAUCACAGAAAAGUGCGCCUCCAUUGCCAAAGUCAGUUCCAUAGAUCACCGCUGCUCUUGCUCUGCUGUGUUUCGUCGCUGCUCUAGGCUUUGUAGCUGCUCUCUGCGUCUUUCUCUGGUCCGUCGUGCUUCGCCGCCUCUAAGGGCGUUAAAGAUGUUCAAUGCCACGAUGCAGAGGAAAGGAAGAAAGACACUAAACUGGUCAAUACCUAAGGUUCCUAAACAACCUGACAACUCUCAGUGUGGUUUUUAUGUCAUGAGAUAUAUGAAAGAUAUUAUUGAGUCUGCUAAUUUUGAGAGGAUUAGCUCGCUGCAAUUAUUGAUCAAUAGCAAAAGUUAUUCUAGUGUGGAGAUUGAUGAAGUGCGGAGGGAGUGGGCUGAUUGUGUUUUGCAGGUAAUAUGAUCAAAGCUAACUUGGAUGCAAAGAGGAAAGAAGACCAUAUUGAGUUUUUGAAAAAUUGAGGCUUCAAGAACAUUUGAUUUUGAGAGUUGAUAUUAGAUUUUGUCUUCCUAGAAACUUGAUAUUAGACUUUCUAUUGUUAUAUUGAUAGUUGAAACUUGGUGCGAGA